rfam:Dialister invisus CAG:218 genomic scaffold, scf62
CAUUAACAGGUCUGUGGUUGAAAGUCGAUGCCAGUCGCAGGCAAAGCGAUCCACGUAAGGUGUUUAAAAGAAUACUGAGCAUGGUGCGGCUUAGAAGUAAGUCCUGCCGAGGAAAUCGAGAGGGUUAGUAGUGAGAGGCAAGUGCCGGAUAGCGAACGCUCCAGCAGGCGGGUGUGGGGUCAAAAACCAGGUCAGCUGUUUGUG